UUUGCCGGGAUUAAUUGGGGCGUAAGGGGUGCGUAGGCGGCCUUUUAAGUCAGAUGUGAAAGAUCACGGGCUCAACCGUGGUAAUGAUUUGAAACUGGAAGGCUUGAGUUAAGGAGAGGAAAGUGGAAUUCCUAGGGUAGCGGUGAAAUGCGUAUAUAUUACGAGGAAUACCAGUGGCGAAGGCGACUUUCUGGACUUAUACUGACGCUGAGGCACGAAAGCGUGGGGAGCGAACAAGAUUAGAUACCCUGGUAGUCCACGCCGUAAACCAUGAGUGCUAGGUGUUGGGGGUCAAACCUCGGUGCCGCAACUAACGCAUUAAGCACUCCGCCCGGGGAGUACGUACGCAAGUAUGAAACUCAAAGGAAUUGACGGGGACCCGCACAAGCAGCGGAACAUGUGGUUUAAUUCCAAGCAUCGCGAAGAACCUUACCAGGGCUUGACAUGCCCCUGACCGUCCUAGAAAUAGGACUUUACCUUCGGGUACAGGGGACACAGGUGGUGCAUGGUUGUCGUCCGCUCGUGUCGUGAGAUGUUGGGUUAAGUCCCGCAACGAGCGCAACCCUUGUCUUUAGUUGCUAACAUAUAAGCUGAGCACUCUAGAGGGACUGCCGAUGACAAAUCGGAGGAAGGUGGGGAUGACGUCCAAUCAUCAUGCCCUUUAUGUCCUGGGCUACACACGUGCUACAAUGGUCGGUACAACGAGCAGCUACUUAGCGAUAAGAUGCUAAUCUCUUAAAGCCGAUCCCAGUUCGGAUUGCAGGCUGCAACUCGCCUGCAUGAAGUCGGAGUUGCUAGUAAUCGCGGAUCACAAUGUCGCGAUGAAUGCGUUCCCGGGUCUUGUACACCCCGCCCGUCCCACCAAGGGAGGUGGCACUACCCGAAGCCAGUGAGCUAACCAUUUGGAGGCAACUGUCGAAGGUAGGGUCAAUGACCGGGGGUGAAAUCGUAACAGGGAAACGGAAAAAGACAAAAAA
rnacentral:rRNA from 1 species